rnacentral:tRNA from 1 species
AGGGGUGUAGCCAAGCGGUUAAGGCACGAGACUUUGACUUUCGCAUCGCUGGUUCAAUUCCAGCCACCCCUG